AACCCCUGGCAAUGGGCAGAGACACCUUGUUGGUGGUGGUGUUUUCUGUCAGUCAGGGGAAGAGCAGAGGGCAGCGCUUUGUUCAUCCUAGCUUGAUGCCUGGCUUGGUGGCCAAAGCUGUUUCAUGCCUGGGGCACAUAA